UAGAAACGAUUUUCACGUGAUAACAAACCGAACGAAAAUCAUCUUCUCGACUCGUUUCUCACGUCCUCCUUUCGAUCCAACGUUAUUUAUCGAAAGGCACACAAAACAUGUCUGAACAUCGAUUUCACGAAACAAAAUGAACGAAGGUGGAAUCGAUCGGGAACGGAUGUGGACUGCUAAACGAUUCCGAUCUCGGAGGCGGCAGACUGAUACGUCGAAUUACAGAGGCGAGUAUAUCGAGUCGAGAAAGGGAAAGUCAAUCGGGUGAAAGUCACUCGUCUGGAUAGUUUUGCCUCCAUUUAUCCACCGUAUAUAUGUACACACGGUUCUAUACACGAGCAUUAAGAAAUUUUAAAGUAAACUGAACCAACGAUGAUAGAGCAUGAUAAGAUGACUAUUUUUAAAUUCCAGUUUUCCCGUGAUAAACGUUCAGAAAAUGAGG